rnacentral:rRNA from 1 species
CCUACGGGAUGCAGCAGUGAGGAAUAUUGGUCAAUGGGCGCGAGCCUGAACCAGCCAAGUAGCGUGAAGGAUGACUGCACUACGGGUUGUAAAAUUCUUUUAUAAAGGAAUAAAGUGAGGCACGUGUGCCUUGUUGGUGGUACUUGAUGAAUAAGGAGCGGCUAACUGCGUGACAGCAGCCGCGGAAAGAAGGAGGAGCAGAGCGUUAUCCGGAUUUAUGGGGUUUAAAGGGAGCGUAGAUGGGUUGUUAAGUCAGUUGUGAAAGUUUGCGGCUCAACCGUAAAAUUGCAAUUGAUACUGGCAGUGUUGAGGACAGUUGAGGUAGGCUGAAUUCGUGGUGUAGCGGUGAAAUGCUUAGAUAUCACGAAGAACUCCGAUUGCGAAGGCAGCUUACUAAACUGCCACUGACAUUGAUGCUCGAAAGUGUGGGUAUCAAACAGGAUUAGAUACCCCAGUAGUC